rnacentral:lncRNA from 10 species
GGGGGGGCCACAGGGGGCGAGGACUGGGUGGAGAAAAGGAAGCCGGCCAUCAGGAGAAGUGGGGGAGGGGAGGGCCUGCUGGGGGAGGGGGCCGCCCCCUUUCCCCCUCCCCCCUGGAGCCUGGGCCCUGCCCUGGUUGAGGCAAGGGCCCGGAGUCCUCAAGCCCUCAGCCCCCACGGGAAAAGCAUGCUGGGGGCGGGGAGAGCCCGGGAGUGGAGAGCUGGGGAGGAUGGAGAGCUGGGAGACCCGGAGAGGCCAAGAAGGGGGCAAAUGAGGUGGAGAGAUAGGGAGGAGGGAGAGGAGGAUGGAGAGGAGCAGGUGGAAGAGAAAGGCGGAGGAGGGUGGGGUGUCCCAGGGGCUCCCGGUGCUGGGCCUCAGUGGGAGGGCCUGGCGACACACUCCUGGUCCCCUGUGAGGAGCCGGCUCCAGUCCCCGGCUCCAGUCCCCGGCUGGGCCUGCCUCCCUGCCGCUGGCUGCCGCCACCGCUCAGUCUCC